rnacentral:rRNA from 1 species
GCAUCGAUGAAANGACGCAGCGAAAUGCGAUAAGUAAUGUGUAAUUGCAGAAAUUCAGUGAAUCAUCGAAUCUUUGAACGCACAUUGCGCCCAUUAGUAUUCUAGUGGGCAUGCCUGUUCGAGCGUCAUU